AAGGGCACCACAAGAACGCGUGGAGCAUGUGGCUUAAUUUGACUCAACGCGGGAAAUCUUACCGGGUCCGGACACACUGAGGAUUGACAGGUUUAUAUAGUAAAGUGACUUGUUUAUUUUAUCAUAAAAUAUGCUAGUCCUUUCAUGAUUGUGUGAUAGGUGGUGCAUGGCCGUUCUUAGUUCGUGGAGUGAUCUGUCUGCUUAAUUGCGUUUCACAAGCGGUAAAAAAAAGGUUGACCACGCAGGUUCGCGUUCACGUGACCUCGUACUUCCUUAAAAAAACCGCGAAGGCAACGAACGUGACCG
rnacentral:rRNA from 1 species